ACCUCAGUAACGGCGAGUGAAGCGGUAACAGCUCAAAUUUGAAAUCUGGCUCCUACGGAGUCCGAGUUGUAAUUUGUAGAAGAUGCUUUGGGAGGUAGGGCCGGCCUAAGUUCCUUGGAACAGGACAUCAGAGAGGGUGAGAAUCCCGUAUGUGGCCGUGGCCUACGCCCGUGUAAAGCUCUUUCGACGAGUCGAGUUGUUUGGGAAUGCAGCUCAAAAUGGGUGGUAAAUUUCAUCUAAAGCUAAAUAUUGGCCAGAGACCGAUAGCGCACAAGUAGAGUGAUCGAAAGAUGAAAAGCACUUUGGAAAGAGAGUUAAACAGUACGUGAAAUUGUUGAAAGGGAAGCGCUUGCAACCAGACUUGGGUGUCGUGGAUCAUCCGAGGUUCUCCUCGGUGCACUCGACGAUGCGCAGGCCAGCAUCGGUUUGGGUGGUUGGAGAAAGGCUCUAGGAACGUAGCUCUCUUCGGGGAGUGUUAUAGCCUAGGGCGCAAUGCAGCCCAUCCGGACCGAGGACCGCGCCUUCGGGCUAGGAUGCUGGCGUAAUGGUUGUAAGCG
rnacentral:rRNA from 1 species